rnacentral:rRNA from 1 species
AUUGAACGCUAGCGGGAGGCUUUACACAUGCAAGUCGAACGAGUGGCGGACGGGUGAGUAAUGUCUCGGAACGUGCCCAGUAGCGGGGGAUAACUACUGGAAACGGUGGCUAAUACCGCAUACUCUUGGAUGUGCCGAUAUCGGAUUAGCUAGUUGGUGGGGUAAAGGCUCACCUAGGCAACGAUCCCUAGCUGGUUGGAGAGGAUGACCAGCCACACUGGAACUGAGACACGGUCCAGACUCCUACGGGAGGCAGCAGUGGGGAAUUUUGGACAAUGGGGUCAAGCCUGCUGCAGCCAUGCCGCGUGUAUGAUGAAGGCCUUCGGGUUGUAAAGUACUUUUAGCAGAGAAGCGUUAUCCGCAGAAGAAGCACCGGCUAACUCCGUGCCAGCAGCCGCGGUAAUUC